rnacentral:rRNA from 1 species
CUAGUUCACCGAUCGCUCGGCCGAUCCCGGCCCUUAAAAACAAUAGUGCGCACGAGAUCGACAAGCAAAACUAGGAGCUUCGGUAUUGAUCAGUUUCUGCCCGAGUCUAGCAGAAGAAGGCUAACUUAGAUGGGUGUUGGGUUGGGAAGGUUGUACCGGCGGAGGAUGUAUCGUGAGAACGAGUAGGAGCGGCGUCAACGGGGUGCGGGGAGGAGGCGCGCCGUGCAGCAGAGGAAGUAGGGAUCAGCGCCGCAGAGGGGGAGGAGGGACCGGACCCUGGGGUGGCGAGUCGUGAAGCAGCAGCGGCCGCCUCCGCUGCGGCAGGAAAGGCAUAGGCUGCGGCCGCACUGGCUUAACUAGCGCAGGGGGCCACGGAGGCGUCAGCGGCAACUGCUGGCGGCGGCAGCGGAGUAUCAUCGCAGGCGGCCAAGGCAGAGGCGAAAGCUGGAGGCGUGGGGAGCCGGGGUAGCGGAGGAGAAGAGGUGGUGCGAGGGGCUGGGGCGGCGCGGGCCGCCGCAGCGGCACCUGGGUGUUAGACCGCAGCGGAAGGAGUGGAACCCGCGGGUUUAGAUGUCGGAAAGGUGACUGCCGCUGGAGCGGCGCGAGGGACGAAGCGGGCAGAUACCGAGCCUCGGGGAAAGGAGGGAGCGGCGUGUGCACUCGGCCCCCAAGGAGGAGCAGCCGGCAGGGUCGUGGCCGGUGGAGGAGGCGCAGCUGUACCUCCUGCCUAGGCGUUCUCUGCAAAGUCCCGGGAAAUGCGGGGGGUGCGGCCAGCGGCAGCGCCACGCCUCGCUACCCUACCACCGCCACCCGCCCCGGCGCUGAGACGCGGACCAGCCCUCGUUGCUGCCCACCCACAGAACGCGCCUCGUACUGCACCCCCUUGGCCUGCCGAGGCAGCGCCGCCACCGCCACCGCCAUUCCCUCGCCUUCGCCCACAUGCGCGACCACCUCCGCCUCCACCUCCCCUUCUCCCUUACCGCCUAGCUCCUCCACCUCACCUUUUUCCUCCCCCUCCCCCUCUACCACCGCGACAAUUAGAACCAGCCGCGGCGGGAGCGGUAGAAGUACAAGACCUCCAAGGUCUACGCCGUCGAGCGGCCGUUGUACUUGUUCUUCUAGUCUAUCUUCCUAGUGUCACGGACCGCCGGUAGGGGUCGAAAUAAAAAAAUAAAGGAAGACGUAAAUCAACUGCGUCCAUAAGAACACAUAAUCUGUACAAUAUUAGUAAAAAGUAAUUGACACUUAGGGAACUAGAAACGAACGCGUCAACAAAACGAACCGUGUAGGUGCUACAUUAUCUAAGAAAAGGAAAGAGUCUUAGUGCUACAUUACCUUGACCCGUAUUGACUAUGAUCAUUUUUAUCACCUACUACCUCAACGCC